AUGUCGCUGGGAAUACCUCCGCCAAACCUCUUUCAUUCAACCCUCUUCUCGUUCGAUUCGACCUUCCUUAACUCCCAAUUCGCUUGUGAUUUUGUCUCCACGCCUUCACUUGCCUCCAAUUUCGUUUCGGUUUCAAUUCGUGCUUCUCAUCCUCAGCAUUUCAUCCACUGCUUCUAUUAUCGCUCAUCAUUGUUAAUUUCUCGCUCGUCUUCAGAUUCACGAGAUAACUCUGGUGGCUCUUCAACGACUCAGGCACAAGACUUAUGA